ensembl:lncRNA
GUUUAUUUGCGCGACGGGUCCUUGUACCAAUGGUUGUUCAUGUCUGUACUUUAAGUGUUAUGGAGCAUGUUCUGUGGACAUUUAUUAAAAAGACUCCAUUUACACUCCAUUUUGACUCUCCUGCACCUGACUUCCCUGCCACCUAUACACACGGCGCUGACAAGUAUUUUGUUAUGGGAUCACUAGGUAAUAUUUGUAGGAGCGUUCUGUGCGAGCGGGGUAGGUUGACUCUGUGUGGGUAACCUUUCAAGUAUGUUCUGAUGUUCUGUGUGAACAUCUGACCAAUCCUGUGUGGGUGAUCCUUAAAGUUAUGUGGUAUUCCAGACAUGGGAAGCUCUCACACUGAAAGCAGAUUGACUUAAGGGGAUAUAGGUCUAACUUCCUGAUCCUUGGCUCUACGAUGGAGUUGACAGUGUGAUGGGGAGUAUAAGCCAAUUUGAAAGAAUAGUUUCAAUAGAAUGUGUGGAUAUUCUCUUUGAAAUAUGUUUAGAUAUGUGUAUUAAGAAUAAUUGGUAAAAGUAAUAAUUUAUCAUGUAGUUAAUGAACUGAACUAAACUGUUGUUCUUUCGAGGUUAUCAUGAAAAGUGACAUCAGACGGUAUCUUAAUGCAUGGAAGAGAUAUUUGGACCGAAGAGGGGGUUUUGAGGAGUGUGAGAGGAGUCCACGUAGAGUGAGCAUGGAGAGAGAUCUGUUCUAAACUUUUCUUAUGUUGCGGGAAUACUGGUUGAUGAAUGGACAAGACAUAAUGAGUGGUAAAGAUGAGACAUUGAAAUUGAAACAUUAUCAUGGGCCAUCCACUUUGAACUGUAAAGUUAUCUGAAGAAGAAGGAAAAGGACGCCAGAAGAAUCAGUGCCUGAGGGAGUGGGUUGGUCAACUGUGCCAAUAAAAUUGUUUUAGACUUUUGUGGUAUCAGGUUGAUUGUAGAGGUUUACGCCAUGUAAAAUUAUAGUCAUUUAGAUUAAGAAUGCACUGAGAUACUGAUCUGUAUUAUAAUUGUGAUUUAAAAAGUUAAUAGUAGAAUUAUGGGAUAAUUAUUGAAUGUUAAUAUGAAUGUAAUUCUGCUAAAAUUGAUGUGUGUUAAAUUGAGUUUUUUACUUUGAGUGAUAAGACCAAUUUGAAUCACUGAGGAAUGUCAUUCUAAAUUUUGGUUGGAUAAAUAGUUGGGUUGUUAAUUAUGAUUUGGAAUAUGAAUGAUUUCCCUGACCUAUUCCUGACCACAUCUCUGAGCAUGAGGGAUGACUGUCCUAUAUGUUGUGAUGAGGCCUGUGUUUAGACACUGGUUCUCAUGUAACUUAGGAAGCAUUUUUAUGUUUUUGUUUUUAUUUUUCUCAACAAUGGAAUAGUCUGUGUGAUUAAACCUGUGCAAGUUUGUCUUGUAGAAUAAAGGUUGUAAACUUAGUUUCAGAAGGGAGAAAGCUUAUAUAUAAGCUAGGGAUUUUGACAUUGAAGGGAUUUUAUUUGUUAUUUUAUUUUAAAUAUUGAGUAUGUAGUUAGUAAUGUUCUGAUUCUCCAAAAGGGACAAUGUCCCUUGAGAGGGUAAUGUCGUGGCUGAAUCAGAAUUAGUUAGCUAACAUUGAUAAAUAAGAUGUUUUAUUUACCUAAUAAUGCUUAUGUGAGAUUAGUCAUUAGGAUGUUUUCUUUUGGAUAAUACUGUUGGCAGCUGCAUUUUCCCCUCUUCUCCAGGGCUUAGUCAUUAGGGGCCCAGAGAGGGGAGAGGUCAGGCUUGUCUUCAUAUGUCAAUAUAGCUGUUAAACCAUGUGAUGCUAUGAAGAAUAUCAGAAGGGGAGGAGGACAGAAUGGAGGCUUGUCAUCUUAUGGGAAUGUGUCUGUAACUAUUGUAUGUCCCCUCUGAGGUUGCCCUUAUCUUGAUUUAGUAUAUCACCUAAGAGGCUCACUGUCUUUUCUGAUCUUGUCCAGGAGGGGUUGUAUUUGAGAUGGAAGUAUCUAGAAUUUACCAUUGAUAUAUGUCAUUGGAUGAGGUAAUGGUUUGGUACUAUGUUGUACCAAGAACGAGAUUAGAACUUCGUUUAAGAGACCAAACUGAACGAUAAUUUAUAGUUAAUGCUGUCUGGCUAUGGGAUACUCCUCAAGUAAAGUCUUCCUUUGUAAUGUUCCUAAGAUCUGUUAUUUGUCAUGGGAGUUGAGAGGGGUGUGUCUUGGCUAUAAAUGAUACUAAGAAUUGUUUUGUAAGCACUCUCAGAGAAAUCAUUUAUAGACACUGAAUUGAUCUGAGAGUCACAGGGCUAUGGUGAAGCUCAUAUAUAAUUAAAG